GGACCCUUAGCUCAGUUGGUCAGAGCUGUCGGCUCAUAACCGAUUGGUCGAAGGUUCGAGUCCUUCAGGGUCCA
rnacentral:tRNA from 1 species